rnacentral:tRNA from 1 species
GCCUGGGUGGCUCAGUCAGUUAAGCAUCCAACUUCGGCUCAGGUCAUGAUCUCACAGUUCGUGGGUUCGAGCCCCACUUCGGGCU